CUACGGAAGGCAGCAGUGAGGAAUUUUCCACAAUGGGCGAAAGCCUGAUGGAGCAACGCCGCGUGAAGGAUGACGGCCUUCGGGUUGUAAACUUCUUUUAAAUGGGAAGAUUAUGACGGUACCAUUUGAAUAAGCAUCGGCUAACUACGUGCCAGCAGCCGCGGUAAUACGUAGGAUGCGAGCGUUAUCCGGAAUUACUGGGCGUAAAGCGUGUGUAGGUGGUCUGUUAAGUAAAAUGUUAAAUUUGUGGGCUCAACUUACAAACUGCAUUUUAUACUGGCAGACUUGAGGAUGGAAGAGGUAAGCGGAAUUACAGGUGGAGCGGUGAAAUGCGUAGAUAUCUGUAGGAACACCAAUGGCGAAGGCAGCUUACUGGGCCAUUCCUGACACUGAGACACGAAAGCGUGGGGAGCAAACAGGAUUAGAUACCCCGGUAGC
rnacentral:rRNA from 1 species